AACUCCAUCCUCUUUUUGUGCUGGGAUAAACCAAGGACUUUAAGCAUGGUAGGCAAGUACUGAACUAACUGGGCUACACCAAAGCCCCAGUCUUUAUGCAGCUAGGAAUAAGCAGCCCGAAUACCUGUGAGCCCUGUUUGAAAUAGCUGUCCUUAGUCAAACCAGGCCAUAGUGAGUGAGCCCUUUUUCAGGUGUUCCUUCUCAUCGGACACUUUGGGCCCCACCUGGGAUGAAGACGAAGCUGAGUCCACAGGUGAAAUAAUUAGGCUGGGAGACACUGCACAUACCUUUUCCCAAAGAAGUAAUGGUGAGUAGACACAUUUUAUUUUAUUUUAUUUUUUUUUUUUUUGGGGGGGUUUCUUUUUGGUUUUUCGAGACAGGGUUUCUCUGUAUAGCCCUGGCUGUCCUGGAACUCACUUUGUAGACCAGGGUGGCCUCGAACUCAAAAAUCCACCUGCCUCUGCCUCCCAAGUGCUGGGAUUAAAGGCGUGAGCCACCACGCCCGGCAGUAGACACAUUUUAAAUGUCAAUUGUCUUUUAAUACACAAGCACAAAAAUGUAGACUCAUACAGUUUAAGGUUGAGAUGCUAGAGCUUCAGUUAAGCAUCUACAUUGAAGCCACAGACUAUCACUAUUGUCCACUAAAUAUGGACAGCUGUCUGACAUUGCAACUGUGUGAGAAUCAAAGGCCCCAUACGCAGGUAAAGCCAAGGCUGGCCAGUGCAUGCAGAGCUGUCACCUAGUCUAUUAGGCACACUAGAUGAACAGUUAUUGAUACAGCCUUGAGCUGGGUCACACCUUUGGAGUAUUUGAUUUUCUGAACCAGUUCAAUCACUUUGUUGAUGGUCUGCACUAACAAGUUUGUGUUCCUGGAGGCAGCUUCAGGCCCGUGUCCAACAGUCUGUUGCUUAGAGACAGGGGCCUCAGGCUCCCGACGUGCACCCUGGGUCCUCAUUCAGCUCCUGUCUGCAGUUCCGCCCUGGCUCGCAGCUGGAACUCUCCGGCCAGCACGUUGCCCCACAGUGCCCAGCCUCCUCCUCACAUGGGUCAGACUCUAAGGCAGUGUCCUGUGCCGUGGCCUUCUCUGUAUUUCUAUAACAGCAUUCAUACACUGCAUGGAAAAUUAUAGUCUCUUAGGUAACCUCUGAGCUCUAGAAAAGUAGGCAGAUGGCACUUCCCCAUCCAGGUCCUGGUGACACACUGGGAAAUGAGCACCUUGACGGUGCUCAGCCUGUGUGAGGACAGACUGUAAAAUGAACUGGAAAACUCUGGUUUAUCUUAGUCUCAAAACCUGGCAAGAUACAAGGCCACAAUAAGGAUGGUUUUGGAUGGAACGAUGAAAGGCUCUUGUGGAAAUAGGUACAAUAAACUAAGAAUCAAGAGGCUUCAUUCCAUAACUAUUGGCUUUGUGGCUUUGGACAAUGCCCUUUUCUGAGUUUGAUUUCAUCACUGUGAAAUGAGACACUUGGACUAAGCCAUCUCUGUAGUCUCUGUCAGCAUUAACACUCUGAUUGGAGGGAAGUCUUACAUUCCAGCAGCAGACCAAAGCCAGGCGGGAGUGGAUAGGGAGCCUAGGUUGGGUUGUGUGAUAUCAAAUGCCAUGAAAAAUGUAUAAUUGCAAAAUCUGAAACUUUGAGUACUGACAUGCUGUAAGUGGAAAAUUUCAGCCUGGGUCAGCCAAAUGUCUCGUCCAGUAAAGGCACCGUGCCAACAAGCCUGGCCACCCUAGUUCUAAUCCAAGGACCCACUCAGUAGGACAAAACUACCAAGUUAUCUUCAGAGCUUCAUAUGGCCACCAUGGUAUCCUAUGCACAAAGAUAAAUAUAAACAGGUAGCUGCAGGGCUACUAUGGUAAUUUUUUAUUGUAUAUUAUAUAUUAUAUGGCUGAUUUUAUGUCAACUUGAUGGACGCUGAAGUCAUUGGAGAGGAGGGAACCCCAAUUGAGAAAAUGCCUCCAUACGAUCAGGCUGUAGGCAAGCCUGUAGGGCAUUUUCUUAAUUAUUGAUAUAUGUGUGAGGGCCCAGCCCAUUGUGGGUGGAGCCAUGCCUGGGCUGGUGGUCCUGGGUUCUAUAAGAGAGCAGGCUGAGCAAGCCAGGAAGUGGUACUCCUUCAUAGUCUCUGUGUCAGCCCCUGUUGAGGUUCCUGUUUUUACUGCUGUGGACAGUGAGCUGAUGUAUGGAAGGGUGAGUAAAAUAACCCUUUCCUCCCCAAGCUGCUUUUGGUUAUAGUGUUUCAUCACAGCAAUAGCAACUCUAAGACAUAUACAUACAUAAAAUUCUCAAGAAUAAAGAAUGAGCUGGAGAGAUUGCUUAAUGGUUAAGAGCACUGACUACUCUUCCAGAGGCCUUGACUUCAAUUUCCAGUAAUUCCAUGGUGGCUCAUAACCAUCUGUAAUGGGAUGAGAUGCCCUCUUCUGGUGUGUCUGAAGACAGCUACAGUGUACUCAUAUACAUAAAAUAAAUAAAUAACUCUUUUAAAAAAAAUAAAGAAAAACUGGUUAGAUGUGGUGCAUGCCUUUAAUUCCAGCACUCAAGAGAAAGAGACAGAAGGAUCUCUGUGAGUUUGAGGCCAUCUUGGUCUAUAUAGUAAGUUUCAGGACAGUCAGAGCCUCACAGAGAAACGCUGUCUC
rnacentral:lncRNA from 1 species